AACGAACGCUGGCGGCAUGCCUAACACAUGCAAGUCGAACGAGAUCUUCGGGUCUAGUGGCGCACGGGUGCGUAACGCGUGGGAAUCUGCCCUUUGGUUCGGAAUAACAGUUGGAAACGACUGCUAACACCGGAUGAUGACGAAAGUCCAAAGAUUUAUCGCCAGAGGAUGAGCCCGCGUAGGAUUAGCUAGUUGGUGUGGUAAAAGCCUACCAAGGCGACGACGGGUAGCUGAACUGAGAGGUUGAUCAGCCACGCUGGGACUGAGACACGGCCCAGACACCUACGGGUGGCAGCAGUGAGGAAUCGUGCGCAAUGGGCGAAAGCCUGACGCCGCGACACCGCGUGAGGGAAGAAGCUCUUCGGAGUGUAAACCUCUUUUUUGUGGGACGAUUAUGACGGUACCAUAAGAAUAAGCCACGGCAAACUUCGUGCCAGCCGCCGCCGUAA
rnacentral:rRNA from 1 species